UAUUGGAUUGAGUGGGCCGCUAAUUGGUUCCUGGAAAUAGCCCUCCAUCAGACCGUACCCUAAACCAACACAGGUGGACUGGUAGAGAAUACCAAGGCGCUUGAGAGAACUAUGUUGAAGGAACUCGGCAAAAUACCUCCGUAAGUUCGCGAGAAGGAGGCCCGGUUCCUAGGCAACUAGGGGCUGGGGGCACAAACCAGGGGGUGGCGACUGUUUACUAAAAACACAGG
rnacentral:rRNA from 1 species